UACAGAGGGUGCAAGCGUUGCUCGGAUUUACUGGGCGUAAAGCGUACGCAGACGGCCACGCAGGUCGGGUGUGAAAGCCCCGGGCUCAACCCGGGAAUUGCAUUCGAAACCAUGUGGCUCGAGUGUGGGAGAGGAAAGUGGAAUUCCUGGUGUAGAGGUGAAAUUCGUAGAUAUCAGGAGGAACACCGGCGGCGAAGGCGGCUUUCUGGUCCACAACUGACGUUCAGGUACGAAAGCGUGGGGAGCAAACAGGAUUAGAUACCCUGGUAGUCCACGCUGUAAACGAUGAGUGCUGGAUGUCGGGGGUAUUCACCCCCUCGGUAUCGAAGCUAACGCGUUAAGCACUCCGCCUGGGGAGUACGGCCGCAAGGUUG
rnacentral:rRNA from 1 species